GACCUCGGAUCAGGUAGGGAUACCCGCUGAACUUAAGCAUAUCAAUAAGCGGAGGAAAAGAAACCAACAGGGAUUGCCUCAGUAACGGCGAGUGAAGCGGCAACAGCUCAAAUUUGAAAUCUGGCUCCUCCGGGGUCCGAGUUGUAAUUUGUAGAGGAUGUUUCGGGCGACGCGCCGGUCUAAGUCCCUUGGAACGGGGCGUCAUAGAGGGUGAGAAUCCCGUACGAGACCGGUGACCGAGCCUAUGUGAAACUCCUUCGACGAGUCGAGUUGUUUGGGAAUGCAGCUCAAAAUGGGUGGUAAAUUUCAUCUAAAGCUAAAUACCGGCCAGAGACCGAUAGCGCACAAGUAGAGUGAUCGAAAGAUGAAAAGCACUUUGGAAAGAGAGUCAAAAAGUACGUGAAAUUGUUGAAAGGGAAGCGCUUGCAACCAGACCUGCCCGUGGGUGAUCAACCGUCCUUCUGGGCGGUGCACUCGCCCGCGAACAGGCCAGCAUCGGUUCGGGCGGCUGGAUAAAGAUCUCGGGAACGUAGCUCCUCUCGGGGAGUGUUAUAGCCCUUGGUGCAAUGCGGCCAGCCUGGACCGAGGACCGCGCUUCGGCUAGGAUGCUGGCGUAAUGGUUGUAAGCGGCCCGUCUUGAAACACGGACCAAGGAGUCUAACAUCUAUGCGAGUGUUUGGGUGUCAAACCCAUACGCGUAAUGAAAGUGAACGGAGGUGGGAACCCCUCGGGGCGCACCAUCGACCGAUCCAGAUGUCUUCGGAUGGAUUUGAGUACGAGCAUAACUGUUGGGACCCGAAAGAUGGUGAACUAUGCCUGAAUAGGGUGAAGCCAGAGGAAACUCUGGUGGAGGCUCGCAGCGGUUCUGACGUGCAAAUCGAUCGUCAAAUUUGGGCAUAGGGGCGAAAGACUAAUCGAACCAUCUAGUAGCUGGGUUCCAG
rnacentral:rRNA from 1 species